GAUGAACGCUGGCGGCGUGCUUAACACAUGCAAGUCGAACGAGAAGUGAAGACGGAAACCUUCGGGCGGAAGGCUUUAUUUCGAGUGGCGGACGGGUGAGUAACGCGUGGGUAACCUGCCUCAUACAGGGGGAUAACAGUUGGAAACGACUGUUAAUACCGCAUAAGACCACAGCACCGCAUGGUGCGGGGGUAAAAACUCCGGUGGUAUGAGAUGGACCCGCGUUCGAUUAGCCAGUUGGCGGGGUAACGGCCCACCAAAGCGACGAUCGAUAGCCGAUCUGAGAGGAUGACCGGCCACAUUGGGACUGAGACACGGCCCAAACUCCUACGGGAGGCAGCAGUGGGGAAUAUUGCACAAUGGGGGAAAUCCUGAUGCAGCGACGCCGCGUGAGUGAAGAAGUAUUUCGGUAUGUAAAGCUCUAUCAGCAGGGAAGAAAAUGACGGUACCUGAGUAAGAAGCCCCGGCUAACUACGUG
rnacentral:rRNA from 1 species